UAAGCAUAUCAAUAAGCGGAGGAAAAGAAACCAACAGGGAUUGCCCUAGUAACGGCGAGUGAAGCGGCAAUAGCUCAGAUUUGAAAUCUGGCGUCUUCGGCGUCCGAGUUGUAAUCUGUAGAGGAUGCCUUUGGGUAGCCACCGGUCUAAGUCCCCUGGAACGGGGCGUCACAGAGGGUGAGAAUCCCGUAUGUGACCGGAAGGGCACCCUCCACAAGGCUCCUUCGACGAGUCGAGUUGUUUGGGAAUGCAGCUCUAAAUGGGAGGUAAAUUCCUUCUAAAGCUAAAUACCGGCCAGAGACCGAUAGCGCACAAGUAGAGUGAUCGAAAGAUGAAAAGCACUUUGGAAAGAGAGUUAAAAAGCACGUGAAAUUGUUGAAAGGGAAGCGCUUGCAACCAGACUUGUUGGCGGUGUUCCGCCGGUCUUCUGACCGGUCCACUCACCGUCUGCAGGCCAGCAUCAUCUGGGGCCGCCGGAUAAAAGCGAGGGGAACGUAGCUCCCCCGGGAGUGUUAUAGCCCCUCGUGCAAUACGGCGAGCCUCGGGUGAGGUCCGCGCUUCGGCUAGGAUGCUGGCGUAAUGGUCGUAAGCGGCCCGUCUUGAAACACGGACCAAGGAGUCUAACAUCUAUGCGAGUGUUCGGGUGUCAAACCCCUACGCGUAAUGAAAGUGAACGGAGGUGGGAGCCUUAGGGUGCACCAUCGACCGAUCCUGAUGUCUUCGGAUGGAUUUGAGUAAGAGCAUAGCUGUUGGGACCCGAAAGAUGGUGAACUAUGCCUGGAUAGGGUGAAGCCAGAGGAAACUCUGGUGGAGGCUCGCAGCGGUUCUGACGUGCAAAUCGAUCGUCAAAUUUGGGUAUAGGGGCGAAAGACUAAUCGAACCAUCUAGUAGCUGGUUCCUGCCG
rnacentral:rRNA from 1 species